GACGUAGGGCGCGAGCGUUGUCCGGAUUUAUUGGGCGUAAAGAGCGUGUAGGCGGCCAUGUAGGUCCGUUGUGAAAACUCGAGGCUCAACCUCGAGACGCCGAUGGAAACCAUGUGGCUAGAGUCCGGAAGAGGAGAGUGGAAUUCCCGGUGUAGCGGUGAAAUGCGCAGAUAUCGGGAAGAACACCUAUGGCGAAGGCAGCUCUCUGGGACGGUACUGACGCUGAGACGCGAAAGCGUGGGGAGCGAACAGG
rnacentral:rRNA from 1 species